CCUACGGGAGGCAGCAGUGCGGAAUAUUGGUCAAUGGCCGGAAGGCUGAACCAGCCAUGCCGCGUGAAGGUCAGUGCCCUAUGGGCGUUAAACUUCUUUUGUGCGGGACGAAGAAAGUGACGGUACCGUCAGAAUAAGCCACGGCUAACUACGUGCCAGCAGCCGCGGUAAUACGUAGGUGGCAAGCGUUAUCCGGAUUUACUGGGUGUAAAGGGCGAGUAGGCGGGAUUGCAAGUCAGAUGUGAAAACUAUGGGCGCAACCGAUAGAGUGCAUUUGAAACUGCAGUUCUUGAGUGAUGGAGAGGCAGGCGGAAUUCCCGGUGUAGCGGUGGAAUGCGUAGAUAUCGGGAGGAACACCAGUGGCGAAGGCGGCCUGCUGGACAUUAACUGACGCUGAGGCGCGAAAGCGUGGGGAGCAAACAGGAUUAGAUACCCCUGUAGUC
rnacentral:rRNA from 1 species